GACGAACGCUGGCGGCGUGCCUAACACAUGCAAGUCGAACGGAACUUACCGAAUGAAGUUUUCGGAUGGAUUUUGAUAAGUUUAGUGGCGGACGGGUGAGUAACGCGUGAGUAACCUGCCUUCAAGAGGGGAAUAACGUUCUGAAAAGAACGCUAAUACCGCAUAACAUACGGAUGUCGCAUGGCAACCGUAUCAAAGAUUUUAUCGCUUGAAGAUGGACUCGCGUCCGAUUAGCCAGUUGGCGGGGUAACGGCCCACCAAAGCGACGAUCGGUAGCCGGACUGAGAGGUUGAACGGCCACAUUGGGACUGAGACACGGCCCAGACUCCUACGGGAGGCAGCAGUGGGGGAUAUUGCGCAAUGGGGGCAACCCUGACGCAGCAACGCCGCGUGAACGAUGAAGGUCUUC
rnacentral:rRNA from 1 species